rnacentral:rRNA from 1 species
CACGUAGGGCGCGAGCGUUGUCCGGAAUUAUUGGGCGUAAAGAGCUCGUAGGCGGCCUGUUGCGUCCGCUGUGAAAGCCCGGGGCUUAACCCCGGGUCUGCAUUCGAUACGGGCUAGCUAGAGUGUGGUAGGGGAGAUCGGAAUUCCUGGUGUAGCGGUGAAAUGCGCAGAUAUCAGGAGGAACACCGGUGGCGAAGGCGGAUCUCUGGGCCAUUACUGACGCUGAGGAGCGAAAGCGUGGGGAGCGAACAGG